rnacentral:rRNA from 1 species
ACGGAGGGUGCAAGCGUUAUUCGGAAUUACUGGGCGUAAAGGGCGUGCAGGCGGGAGAGCAAGUCUGAUGUGAAAGCCCGGGGCUUAACCACGGAAGGGCAUUGGAAACUGCUUUUCUUGAGUUCGGGAGAGGAAGGUGGAAUUCCCGGUGUAGAGGUGAAAUUCGUAGAGAUCGGGAGGAACACCAGUGGCGAAGGCGACCUUCUGGAAAACUACUGACGCUGAGACGCGAAAGCGUGGGGAGCAAACAG